rnacentral:rRNA from 1 species
GCUGGAUUCGCUAGUAAUCGCGCAUCAGCCAUGGCGCGGUGAAUACGUUCCCGGGCCUUGUACACACCGCCCGUCAAGCCAUGGAAGCCGGGGGCGCUUGAAGUGCGUUGCCGCAAGGCGCGCCCUAGAGCGAAACCGGUGACUGGGGCUAAGUCGUAACAAGGUAUC